GGGGGGGACACCAGACGCUAGUCGAACUGCUAAUUCCACCAACUGAGGUUAAAAUCCCCAGACCCCCC
rnacentral:tRNA from 1 species